rnacentral:lncRNA from 10 species
UUUUUAAUGAAAGGCGUAUUUUACAAACAAUAUCAAGAUGCUUCACAAGAUGCUGUUUGCAGCUCUUUAUUUUUGACAUUGUGGUGGAAACAUAUACAGAAAAUACUCCUUUGCUAGAUUGCUUUUUUUCCAAGGCAAAUUAAUCCUUUUGACAUAAUCUCCUAUAUUUUGUUCUUUUAAAUACUUUUCUGUUAAGACAAAAAUGGACUUUUUAAGGUACCUACUAUUUUAAAGAUAUUUUCUCUGCAUGCUUAUCUAUAUAAAGACAUGAAAAGAUUCAUGAGAAUAAAGCAAAAUCACAGGUUCCUGAGAUUUGGCUGUGGACGUAUUUCGGAGCUAUUAUUCUGACACUAAAGAAAGAUUUUAAGUGUCUCUCCUUAUUUGUGGUAUAUAAUUUCUAAUUUUUAUUAUGCUUGCUUCCUGGUCCCACAUUUCUUGGUAUUACAGGGCCUGAUGCAGUGCCUGUCACAUUCCUAACAUUCAGGCUUCCCUGAAGUAGGGCAGUGAACUUUCAUGAGCUUGGAUUAUCAUUAUGGAGCACCUUUGGAGUGCCCAGUGUAUGCCAAAUGUUACAAAGAAGAUACAGAUGUGUGUGAAGCUUAUUUUCUUCUAUGUUUUGAGACAAUCAUAUGGAAGUAUGAAAUUGCAUAUUAUCCCUUUCAGCUGAUAAGAGGGAUUACUUAAAAGUACAAGGUAAUUUGGAAGGUGUGCCUUCCUAUGAAAUCUUUCAAGUAGAGAUCUGGAAUCUGUAGUUCCCAUGUAGCCCCCUCCUUUAGAAUCGGACACCCAGUUCUCUCCUAAUGUACAUGAGUAGUGUGUUUCUAACGCUUCACUAUUACAAACAAUGCCACCUUACACACAUCUGGUUAUUUCCCAAGGAAGAGUAGGAACACAGACACAAGUCAGGCAAGUGCAGGGCACAGGCAAGGAGAAUUGCUAGUUCUCAGCUGGUGGCUGGAGUCAUAGUUACUAUUAUGGAUAGAGAUACUAAUGUUAUUCUCAUUUACAGAUGAAAAACAACCAAAGCACCAAAGUUAAUUUACUUGCCUAGAGAGUUAAACACUCCUGUUUAGUACCUGAGCAGGAAUUCUAACUUGUGUUAUCUGAUCCUGGUAGGUCCUCAUUUAAAUGAUGCCCUGGAUAGCUUCCAAUGAA